GAUGAACGCUGGCGGCGUGCCUAAUACAUGCAAGUCGAGCGAACAGACGAGGAGCUUGCUCCUCUGACGUUAGCGGCGGACGGGUGAGUAACACGUGGAUAACCUACCUAUAAGACUGGGAUAACUUCGGGAAACCGGAGCUAAUACCGGAUAAUAUAUUUAACCGCAUGGUUCAAUAGUGAAAGACGGUUUUGCUGUCACUUAUAGAUGGAUCCGCGCCGCAUUAGCUAGUUGGUAAGGUAACGGCUUACCAAGGCAACGAUGCGUAGCCGACCUGAGGGGGUGAUCGGCCACCCUGGAACUGAGACACGGUCCAGACUCCUACGGGAGGCAGCAGUAGGGAAUCUUCCGCAAUGGGCGAAAGCUUGACGGAGCAACGCCGCGUGAGUGAUGAAGGUCUUCGGUUCGUAAAACUCUGUUAUUAGGGAAGAACAAAUGUGUAAGUAACUAUGCACGUCUUGACGGUACCUAAUCAGAAAGCCACGGCUAACUACGUG
rnacentral:rRNA from 1 species